CUGCGAGUGUGCCCCAUGGUCAAACCCUUCUGAACUCCGUGUCUAAAUGUAGGAGCAGCCCGAAGCCCCUCGCUCCAGAAACUCCUUCUCCCAGGAGGAAGAGGAGGGGAGAGCAGAGUGAGGAAGAGCGAGCCAGCGAUUCCCCGGUGCCGCGGACACUCGCGGUGCAGCAAGGAGCCGCGACUGGAACAUCUCCUCUGUGACGCUUUCCUUGCUCGUCUGCUGAAAUCGCCCAUCUCUCCCUGCCCGACUCCCACAGGGCUGCAGUCUUGUCUGAGGAUGCGCAUUUAGAAAAGGUAUGCUACUAGUAUGAGGCAUCCAGCAAUAUAAACAGGAAACCCUUCCACGAGACACCCCCACCACUUAAUCAGGGUUUCAUAGCCAAGAUACCAUAGCCUUCACCCCAAACAGGCAGAGAGGCGCUAUAUCU
rnacentral:lncRNA from 1 species